GACGAACGCUGGCGGCGUGCUUAACACAUGCAAGUCGAACGGAAAGGCCCUGCUUUUGUGGGGUGCUCGAGUGGCGAACGGGUGAGUAACACGUGAGUAACCUGCCCUUGACUUUGGGAUAACUUCAGGAAACUGGGGCUAAUACCGGAUAGGAGCUCCUGCUGCAUGGUGGGGGUUGGAAAGUUUCGGCGGUUGGGGAUGGACUCGCGGCUUAUCAGCUUGUUGGUGGGGUAGUGGCUUACCAAGGCUUUGACGGGUAGCCGGCCUGAGAGGGUGACCGGCCACAAUGGGACUGAGAGACGGCCCAGACUCCUACGGGAGGCAGCAGUGGAGAAUAUUACAAAAUGGGCGGAAGCCUGAUGCAGCAACGCCGCGUGCGGGAUGACGGCCUUCGGGUUGUAAACCGCUUUCGCCUGUGACGAAGAGUGAGUGACGGUAAUGGGUAAAGAAGCACCGGCUAACUACGUG
rnacentral:rRNA from 1 species